rnacentral:rRNA from 1 species
CGCGUAGGCGGACUGGAAAGUCAGAGGUGAAAUCCCAGGGCUCAACCUUGGAACUGCCUUUGAAACUAUCAGUCUGGAGUUCGAGAGAGGUGAGUGGAAUUCCGAGUGUAGAGGUGAAAUUCGUAGAUAUUCGGAGGAACACCAGUGGCGAAGGCGGCUCACUGGCUCGAUACUGACGCUGAGGUGCGAAAGCGUGGGAGCAAACA